UACCGUGGACCUAGAAUAUCUGGGUAUUUGUCCCAAAAGAGGUAGAAGGGGUUCACUGUCAGCAUGUUUCCUAUAGAAAUGCUCUGAAUCGCUGUUCUCUCGAUAUUGCUAUUGGCCUUGGUUCAAGAUACCUUCUGUUUGCCUGCCUGGAUUCCCUUGCUGCUCUCGCUAUUGAGACUACAACAAAGCCACCUCUUCUUAUUAAGACUUGCUAAAUACACCCACCCCUAAAGCCACCUAACUCCAGUUGCUGUGCUUUGUCGACAUUUGUUGAAUAUUCUUCUUAAACUAUUAUCUAGAAAUAUUGAUUGGUAGCUUAGAGGGAAUCUCAGGCAUAGUAGUGAAUCACCAUAUUGCAUUGUUGUUUCUCAAGCUCACCCUUCUAGAAAUAAUAAGAAUGGUGAACAUUCAAUGAUGCUAUAGCCCUGUGGUGAACACUGAUGGUAUAUCUUUAUUUAACACUGUAAUGACCAUGGAAAUAUGACUUGGAGGGGGAGAUAUUUGGCCUAGCAGUAAAUAUGCAAGUUAAGAGAUCCAGGUCCCAGAUCAGAUUGCCUGAGUUCAUUAACGGCUCUGGAUGCUGCCUCUAACUUCCUGCUAAUGCAAACAAUUUAGAGGCAGCAGUGACCACUCAAGCAACUGGGUCCCUGCUCCCAAUUUAGGAGAUGUCAGUUGUACUCCUGCUUCUUGUGUUUGGACUCUUCCCAGUUCUGUCUGUUGUGGGCAUUGGGUAUAUGAGCCAGAAGAUGUGAGCUCUCUCUGUCUCUGUCUCUUUUCUUUCCAAAUAAGUAAAUGAAAAUUAGGACUUGGAGACCUCCAGUAGCAGAGAAAUUAAUUGAUCAAGGACCACACUAUUGUGCUCUAAAAUACAUUGUCACAUUUCUGUAGAGGCCACACUUUCCAAGGCAAUGAUCUCAGACACUGAGAAAAUGUGCUAGGGUCACUAAGGCACGUCUCUUACCGAGAUCUGGAUCAAGUGAUGCCAGGACUCCCCACCAAUGGCCGUGUUGAACCCUCCCUCCACUACUUGGUGAUCUAACCUGCUUCCAAGAAAAUUCUUCUUUUUCAGGAGGAUAAGACAUCUCUCCUGCACCCCG
rnacentral:lncRNA from 1 species